rnacentral:lncRNA from 10 species
CCCUUCCCCCACUAUCCUCUCCACCCGCUCCCAGGGGCUGGAGUCUGGAAAACCACGCGGGAGGAGGUUGUGGGGAUAUGGACGAGCAUCCGAGGCCCCCGGUUACAGACGUUCCACGUUCCGUCUCCCUGUGCCAGCCCUCAGGACCUGAGCAGCGGCCUUGCCGUAGCCUAUGUGCUGAACCAGAUAGACCCCUCCUGGUUCAACGAGGCAUGGCUCCAGGGCAUCUCGGAAGAUCCAGGUCCCAACUGGAAGCUGAAGGUGACAAGUGGACUCCUGAUUAGAGGACAGACUGGUGAAGAGAUGACCAGGGACGGGCCAGCUAGGCACAUGUCCUGGGUGAUGGGCAGGAAGAGGGACAGAUGUCUGGUGAUCAACCAUUUGUUCAUCCAUUCAUCUAUGGAGUACUCACCCUGUGCCAGGCCUGGGCAUUCAGCAAGGAAUAACACAGACAAAAACCUGCCCCACACAGCCAUCAUUCUAGUGACAAGCAACACAUACACAACCAUAAAAAUUAACUUCCAGGCUGGGCGCAGUGGCUCAUGCCUGUAAUCCCAACACUUUGAGAGGCUAAAGUGGGUGGAUCACCUGGGG